AGAGUGAACGCUGGCGGUAGGCCUAACACAUGCAAGUCGAACGGCAGCACAGUAGGAGCUUGCUCUUACGGGUGGCGAGUAGCGGACGGGUGAGGAAUACAUCGGAAUCUACCUUUUGGUGGGGGAUAACGUAGGGAAACUUACGCUAAUACCGCAUACGCCCUUCGGGGGAAAGCCGGGGACCAGCAAUGGCCUGGCGCUGAUAGAUGAGCCGAUGUCGGAUUAGCUAGUUGGUGAGGUAAUGGCUCACCAAGGCGACGAUCCGUAGCUGGUCUGAGAGGAUGAUCAGCCACACUGGAACUGAGACACGGUCCAGACUCCUACGGGAGCAGCAGUGGGGAAUA
rnacentral:rRNA from 1 species